GACGAACGCUGGCGGCGUGCUUAACACAUGCAAGUCGAACGGAAAGGCCCUGCUUUUGUUGGGUGCUCGAGUGGCGAACGGGUGAGUAACACGUGAGUAACCUGCCCUUGACUUUUGGAUAACUUCAGGAAACUGGGGCUAAUACCGGAUAGGAGCUCCUGCUGCAUGGUGGGGGUUGGAAAGUUUCGGCGGUUGGGGAUGGACUCGCGGCUUAUCAGCUUGUUGGUGGGGUAGUGGCUUACCAAGGCUUUGACGGGUAGCCGGCCUGAGAGGGUGACCGGCCACAUUGGGACUGAGAUACGGCCCAGACUCCUACGGGAGGCAGCAGUGGGGAAUAUUGCACAAUGGGCGGAAGCCUGAUGCAGCAACGCCGCGUGCGGGAUGACGGCCUUCGGGUUGUAAACCGCUUUCGCCUGUGACGAAGCGUGAGUGACGGUAAUGGGUAAAGAAGCACCGGCUAGCUACGUG
rnacentral:rRNA from 1 species